AAAAUUCACAACUGCCACACAACUGAAACAAUAAAGAUCUUAUAUUUCUCUCACUGAGGUAAAAACAAAUAAAAAAUAAUAGAAAUACAAAAAAAAUAGAAAUACCGUUUAAUUUCAACUGUUUUCCUUCCAGCAAAAUAAAAUAAACUGACAAAUAGUACAGAACAAUCAAACUUCAUGAAGUAUAUCCCUGAAAGAAGAAUAUGUGUGACAUCCUCCAUCCCCUCAGAAGCAGGAAGAGGAAAAUAGAAAAAAGCAGAACUCUAAGGUACUGGUGAAAAACACGUUAAAAGCCUCAAAUCCAACCACUAAUGCAACUAAGUAAUUUCAAAACACAUUUCAGCACUUUGGAGAGGAAGGACUGAAAGCACAAGUGAGUCAAUAAUUU
rnacentral:lncRNA from 1 species